AUUUAAGGAACUUGUUGGUAGAGACCAUUGUUGUAUUACCAAUAAAAAAUAAUAGUGAACAAGAGAGCAGAGUUGAUUAGGUGUCAGUGAGCCCUGUUUUGGCUCUCCAAAUGUCUGCCUGGUAAUAACUAGGCUGACGAUGGGCCCAGUGACUCCCGGUUAAUGAACUGAGUUUGGAGGACUGGCAGCCAGGAGAAAAUACUUGUUAAUGAGUUGUCACUCCAUGGAUCUAGAAGUCUUUCAGAGAAGAAGAAAAAAUAAAAACACACAAUUAUAAAUAAAUCACUUUAUUUUAAAACUCUCCUUAAUUGAUGUGUAUUUAAUUCAAUCGGAAGAAACAAAAAGUUAAUUCCUUCAGAAAAUUUCAGUAACUGUAGCUUUAAAACUUGUCAAAGUAAAAAUAAUCACAUUUCUCAUCAGAUUUUACAUCUACCAGUGCCCAUCAGAAGCUAAAAUAAUAGAUCUUUAUCAUCAGAUGUUUCAAAAGACCUUUCUUAUUGCUGGAUCUCUUUCAAGAUGCCUCGUUCUGAGACCGUCUGUGGAGAACUAUGGCAACCUGUUAUUGACAGAUGUGCUCUCUGUAGCUUGUAUGUCAGCCCUGCUGCUAUCCCCUGCUGACUAAUAAAGUUAGUUGCUGGUAUAUAUUUGUAGAGUCUUUGAAAUCUGUUAGGUUGUGGAAUAGUGUUCUGAGAGAGUUAGUACUUCAUUGUUUGAACUAUUGGAAAUUAAUGGGAAGCACUGCUUGAUGAUUUGGUUCCAAGGAAGAAGGGAAAGACAAGAGCAAGAUGUCCUUAAAAGCCUUUCUGAGUCCUACUUUGGCAAAAUUACCUUCUGUGUAUGCUUGUAACAGAGACUCUGCUCCAAGCUUGGUGACCUGUUGUUUACUGGUGUUCCAUGACUUACACAGGCACUUGCGAAGACGUAGCACCAGAGUGAUCUGGAACUUCUGCAGAAGUGGGAGAAUAUAUCCACUUAACAGAACCGGAGAGUUCUUAAAUGGAAAAUGGAGCAUGGAGAGAACAGAAUGUGAUAACCAUGACUGUAGGGAAUGCAGUGCUCACCGUUCCAAAAGCAUAAAUCUCUGUAUGUACGGGCGUUCCUAUACAGUCACCCUGGGCUUAGUUCUGUGCCUUCUCUUCUUCCUCUCACUAAAAUUCACAGCAACAAUUAAAUCAUUCUUGGAUAAAUCGCUAUUUUAUAAAGUGAAUGCCAGGAAAACCGGGGACUGGAAUCUCAACUCAUGCUAAUAAAUCUGUAGCCACAGCUGUGGAGACGUGAGGCUCUCCAUGGAAGGAGUAGUAUACUUCAGGUGUCACUUACUGUACCUGUGGAGGAGAACAUUUCACAAGUACUUUAACAUCUUUUCCUGCAGAAAAAGGAAAAUCUCAGAAUUACUAUUGAUGGGCCACAUUUUGGUCUUGGUCUGAGAAGCUGACUGUACAAAACAAAGCUGGCUUUGCAUUAAAGACCUUUAUUAUCGAUUAUCCUGACAGCUGGCUUCUGUGUGUCGUGCUUAGUCACAGUCUCACAUCUACCUGUCCGUAGCAUCUCUUGUUGAUCAUGUGUUUUUUUAAUACAGUUUAGUCAGGAAGGCUCUACAUUUGCGAUGCCUAUUAAAAUGCAGUGCCUGGAUAAUGAGCAAAAGGAGUAAUUGGUCCUAAUCUGGAAUGCAAGGAAGUAAUUACGAUGACCCUUCAUUAUUAAUUUGUCAUUUGAACUACUAGUGACUAAAAUAUUUUAGGUAUGAAGAUGAUCUAAAGUAUAUGCGUUCCACUUGCUGUCUUAGAAGCCUGGAGAAUCUUUAUGAAAGUAUUAAUCCUGUAGUGCUAAAACAACACCUUCCCCAUAGAGUUUCCUAAGUGCUGUUUACUCUUGUGGGUAUUUCAUUUGGAUAGUGACUCUUCCUGGCCUUCUCACCUGCUCAAAUUCUUUCUGCUCAGAGCUCCAGAAUAGCUCUUUAAAAUCCUUUAUCCGAAGGAAAACCAGUGGGUGUGAGGUAUAAUAAGAUCUGUCUUUCCAGGAUCAUCGAGCUCCUUGAUGAGGCAGGUUGGAUGAUGCCAUGGGAAAACACUGCAGUGAAGUCAUUCAUCUGCCUUGCUAAUCCUGUGCUUUGUUGUUUCAAUCCUUUUAUCGCAAGGGUCCUGCCUGGAUGAAAUCUUUCCAAAUUCCUGGUGUAUGAGUUGAGUGGUGAAGUCCAAAUACCCAUCAGAGCGAUAAUCAUAUCCAGUUAUAAUGUUCACUGUUGUGCUGUUAUCCAAGAUAGGACUGGGGGAAAUUUCCCUAUGGCAAGAAUGCUUUCUGCACGUGAUGCAGAGUGCUUCAAACAACGCUAGAUGCACAAAGAACUAAGGUGUACAACACAACUAUAAGAUUGUGACCUUUUAGCCUCUGAGACCACUGGAAAUAAACUGCAAACACCAGCCUGAUGAAGACCUUAACACCCCACAAUCUUGCUUCUGGUACUACAGCUCCAUAGUGGUGUUUUGUUUACAGGCAAGGCAAUAUGAAUUAAUUUUUCUGUGUCUCUUUGAUUUGACAAUGCCACAGUUGGUCCCAGUCUGGAAAAAGUCCUUAGAGAGAAAAGAGAAAACAUAAAAAUACUGAUGAAAAAUGCAUGAACCGAACACAGGGUGGUGUUAGCAAAAGCUUUUGCAGAAGAUGGUAAUGAAUUGGGGAAUGCAUGGUCCAACAUUACAGGAUAUCCAGUAUAAAGAAGGGCAGACACAGGAGGUCAGGAGGAGGAACAGGAUGCGUCUGCAAGGGUAAGGGAGUAACUCUAAGUCCUGCCUGCAUCUACUUCACUUUGAGUCCCGGCAGCAAAGAGCAGAGUGUGCCAGCAGUGCUGCGGCUGCAGGCAGCACCUUCCAGACGGAGCACCAUGCCUGGCGUGUGGAAGGCAAGGCAGGCAGAGCAGAGAGCUCGUGGUCCUGUGGAGCCUGUCUGGAAGGAAGACAAGACCCCUGGCAAGUACCAAUAAGCAGAAAGCCUGCAUAUGGUGGAGGUCAAAAUGGGUCACUUGGGAGAGGGAACUGAUCAGCAGGGAGUGCUAGUGCUUGCAUGGGCCAUGCGCUGUAAGAAGAUUGGGUGUUGCUUCUGCUUUCUGAAGAGAGGCUUUUUUUUGGUAAGAACAUUACUGAUUGACAUGAGACCUAGCUUGGGGGGAAACUCUGUGUGUUUUUACAAAUAAAUGGUUUGGGCGCUUCAUUUUGGUAUGAGGUUGUUCCUUCAAAAAAAGUCACAUUACAGAGAACCUUAGCUGAAGCUUUGCCUGCAGGAAUAAUGUGGCCUCAUGGAAAAAAUAGGGUUGUUUUGCCUAGAGGUGGGAGGCUUAAUGAGAGUCCACCUGAUUGGCAUGUAGCACACGUCCUAAUAUAACUUCUGCCUGACAUAUGCUUGUGGUCCCGAGGAAGACGUUGCUGAUCAGAUGAAUAGUAUCUAGACUUCAAACUAGCAAAAUAAAUAAAAUCUUUAUCUUUUUCAGUAGGAUUUCAAAGUGUGUGUGUGUUUGGGGGGGGUAUUUGAAUUCGAAGGAUUCAUGCUUUUACUAAUUAGACACUAAAAAUGGUAGAAGUGUUUAAAAAACAAUAAUAAAGCCUUAGCUCUUGCCCUGGGCAUGAAUUUACUAGCUUGAGUUUGUUGUUCUAUUCGGUUCAUUGAUCUUGUCACAAUUGAUGAUUCAUUAAGUUGUGACUACUGUAGAAAUUACAAUGCACAGAUGUGGCUGUGCUGCACAUCUGUGUGUUCCCAAUGUGCUAAUGAUCUAAAAACGCACUUUCUGUCUGGCCAUCCACUGUGCUUCGAGUGCCAGCUGACAUUUUGUAUUAUUGAGCCAUUUGUUGUGGUUGGCAGAGAGAAAGAGUUUUUGGUUCUCCUUGUGCUUUUUUGUUGCUUUUAUCCAUAUUUCAAAUAGCUGGAUUUGACUGUCCCAGCAACCUUGGCCUUGCAGAAUGGCAGUCGUGACUGUAAGUUUUUCUGCAGGCUGCCACCUUUUUCAAUGUCGUGUGCCUUCUCCUGGUCUUUGGUUAUAGUAGAUGGGAUUAUUUUCUGCACUAAGUCACAAGGAAUAAACAUGUCAGAUUCAAAGGCAGGAUUUGCAGGUUUCCCGACUUUCUCAAGGUUCUGAUUUUUUAAUUUUUCAAGUUAGACUGAGAUGUCAUUGACUUAGUUUCUAGCUUACUGCUAACAACUCAGUCAGUCCAAAGCUGCUUAUCCUGGCAGAUCCCAGGAGACCUCAGAAAUUUCCAGCAUAUUGACCUACGGGCUGAUGGGCACCAGCAAUUCAAUAGUGUGUGGGAACACUGUAAAACAACCGAAUUGUUAGACUUAUUUCUGUCUUCUUCCCCUAACUCAGACUGCUGUUCAGAGUGGUCCUCAUUAGAGACUUGUGUUUGAUCAAAGCAUGACUUUGAGGGGCUGUCUGAUGCAGAAUGACUUUGCAUUGAUGUGCUGAGCUGUGCCUGCUGCUAUAUCAUGGUAAGGUUAUGCCUGUGUUGUGUAGUUAACAGAUUGCCUUGUGACUAUGUUCUAACACCACUUUCUAGUGCAGACAAAACCCGUAAGACUCCUCUUGCUACAGGCCUUCCAGGGAGUGCCCAGGGAGAGCGGACUGCACCCGUUCAAGCACAGGUCCGUGACUCUCCUCUCUUACCCAAACUGUCUUUCUUUAGGCCAUGUAAGUCUUUCUGAAAGCCAGAUUAAUGGAUGUCCCUAAGAAAAAUACACUGUCUUGGUUAAAAAAAAAAAAAAAAAAAA